rnacentral:rRNA from 1 species
UACGUAGGGGGCUAGCGUUGUCCGGAAUCAUUGGGCGUAAAGCGCGUGUAGGCGGUUCGGUAAGUCCGCUGUGAAAGUCGGGGGCUCAACCCGUCGGAUGCCGGUGGAUACUGUCGGGCUUGAGUACGGAAGAGGCGAGUGGAAUUCCUGGUGUAGCGGUGAAAUGCGCAGAUAUCAGGAGGAACACCAAUUGCGAAGGCAGCUCGCUGGGACGUUACUGACGCUGAGACGCGAAAGCGUGGGGAGCAAACAGG